rnacentral:rRNA from 1 species
UACGGGGGGGGCAAGCGUUGUUCGGAAUUACUGGGCGUAAAGGGCUCGUAGGUGGCCAACUAAGUCGGACGUGAAAUCCCUCGGCUUAACCGGGGAACUGCGUCCGAUACUGGUUGGCUUGAAUCCGGGAGAGGGAUGUGGAAUUCCAGGUGUAGCGGUGAAAUGCGUAGAUAUCUGGAGGAACAUCGGUGGCGAAGGCGGCAUCCUGGACCGGUAUUGACGCUGAGGCGCGAAAGCCAGGGGAGCAAACGGG